UUACAAUUAUAAUUUUAAAAAGGAUGUCUUACAACUGUGUAAGAGCAAAAAACUAUAUAAUUAAUUUAAGGAGAUAAUAAAAUUUACAAAGUGAUAAAGUCAUUUAUUAUACAAAGGAGAGAAAUAUGUUAAAAAUUGUCAAAUUUAUUUAUGCUAUAUUUAUCUUUUAUUUCAUAAUUUUAGUUCCAACGAACGUAAAUGGCUAUACCUGCAGAACACAUUAUGAGUGUCUAAACAAGCGUUGUAUCAAGCCUGAAGGACCGAGGUGUGUCAAUGGCCAUUGUAAAUGUGCUUAACUGAUAUUGCACAUAGGUCCUGUACCCAAAUAAUUUAUAUUUAGCGUAUGUUUGGUUUUGUGAAAAGAAAGUGGAAGGAAAAAAAUUAUAAUCAUCGAUGGAUGAACUUAGACUAACUCUAAUUCAAGUUCAUUUAUCGGUUUUCGUAAUUUUCUUUCCUUCUACUUUCUUUCAUUCAAAGUGUACUCCUAUGAAUGUCUUGCUAGAAUAUUCUAUGGGUGUACGUCAUUUAUUUAUUGCGUUGGUAUCAAAUAAUUAAUGUUUUCUCUACUUUUUUUCUAAUUUCAAGAACCUUGUAUUUUUUAAUUUGUACUUUAAAUUGAUUGUAAUUAAAUGAAAUAAGGCUUCAAAUA